UCGAGAAUAAUUCACAAUGGGGGCAACCCUGAUGGUGCAACGCCGCGUGGAGGAUGACGGUCUUCGGAUUGUAAACUCCUGUCAUCCGGGAGUAAGACCUGGCGGUUAACAGCCGACAGGGUUGAUAGUACCGGAAGAGGAAGGGACGGCUAACUUCGUGCCAGCAGCCGCGGUAAUACGAAGGUCCCGAGCGUUGUUCGGAAUCACUGGGCGUAAAGGGAGCGUAGGCUGCGCGGUAAGUCAGAUGUGAAAUCCCGGGGCUCAACCCCGGAACUGCAUCCGAUACUGCCGUGCUAGAGGAUUGGAGAGGUAGCUGGAAUUCUUGGUGUAGCAGUGAAAUGCGUGGAUAUCAAGAGGAACACUCGUGGCGAAAGCGAGCUACUGGACAACUCCUGACGCUGAGGCUCGAAGGCCAGGGUAGCGAAAG
rnacentral:rRNA from 1 species